ensembl:scaRNA
UGAUUGAUUGAUGCACAGAUAGAAUGGACUCCCUGCUCUAAUUGUUACAAGCUCUUCCCAAAUAAACCUGCCUUUUGAUGACCCGACAAAUUGAGGGAAAUCAUAAUGGAUAUAUACAAGGCAGAUACAG